rnacentral:rRNA from 1 species
GGUUAAGCGACUAAGCGUACACGGUGGAUGCCCUGGCAGUCAGAGGCGAUGAAGGGCGUGCUAAUCUGCGAUAAGCGCCGGUAAGGUGAUAUGAACCGUUAUAACCGGCGAUACCCGAAUGGGGAAACCCAGUGUGACUCGUCACACUAUCAUUAACUGAAUCCAUAGGUUAAUGAGGCGAACCGGGGGAACUGAAACAUCUAAGUACCCCGAGGAAAAGAAAUCAACCGAGAUUCCCCCAGUAGCGGCGAGCGAACGGGGAGGAGCCCAGAGCCUGAAUCAGCAUGUGUGUUAGUGGAAGCGUCUGGAAAGACGCGCGAUACAGGGUGACAGCCCCGUACACAAAAGCGUAUGUGCUGUGAGCUCGAUGAGUAGGGCGGGACACGUGGUAUCCUGUCUGAAUAUGGGGGGACCAUCCUCCAAGGCUAAAUACUCCUGACUGACCGAUAGUGAACCAGUACCGUGAGGGAAAGGCGAAAAGAACCCCGGCGAGGGGAGUGAAAAAGAACCUGAAACCGUGUACGUACAAGCAGUGGGAGCACAGGUUUACCUGUGUGACUGCGUACCUUUUGUAUAAUGGGUCAGCGACUUAUAUUCUGUAGCAAGGUUAACCGAAUAGGGGAGCCGGAGGGAAACCGAGUCUUAAUUGGGCGUUAAGUUGCAGGGUAUAGACCCGAAACCCGGUGAUCUAGCCAUGGGCAGGUUGAAGGUUGGGUAACACUAACUGGAGGACCGAACCGACUAAUGUUGAAAAAUUAGCGGAUGACCUGUGGCUGGGGGUGAAAGGCCAAUCAAACCGGGAGAUAGCUGGUUCUCCCCGAAAGCUAUUUAGGUAGCGCCUCGUGAAUUCAUCUCCGGGGGUAGAGCACUGUUUCGGCUAGGGGGUCAUCCCGACUUACCAACCCGAUGCAAACUGCGAAUACCGGAGAAUGUUAUCACGGGAGACACACGGCGGGUGCUAACGUCCGUCGUGAAGAGGGAAACAACCCAGACCGCCAGCUAAGGUCCCAAAGUCAUGGUUAAGUGGGAAACGAUGUGGGAAGGCCCAGACAGCCAGGAUGUUGGCUUAGAAGCAGCCAUCAUUUAAAGAAAGCGUAAUAGCUCACUGGUCGAGUCGGCCUGCGCGGAAGAUGUAACGGGGCUAAACCAUGCACCGAAGCUGCGGCAGCGACACUCAGGUGUUGUUGGGUAGGGGAGCGUUCUGUAAGCCUGCGAAGGUGGCCUGUGAGGGUUGCUGGAGGUAUCAGAAGUGCGAAUGCUGACAUAAGUAACGAUAAAGCGGGUGAAAAGCCCGCUCGCCGGAAGACCAAGGGUUCCUGUCCAACGUUA